CAGUAGCCGCGGGAAUACAGAGGGUGCAAGCGUUAAUCGGAAUUACUGGGCGUAAAGCGUGCGUAGGCGGCUUCUUAAGUCGGAUGUGAAAUCCCUGAGCUUAACUUAGGAAUUGCAUUCGAUACUGGGAAGCUAGAGUAUGGGAGAGGAUGGUAGAAUUCCAGGUGUAGCGGUGAAAUGCGUAGAGAUCUGGAGGAAUACCGAUGGCGAAGGCAGCCAUCUGGCCUAAUACUGACGCUGAGGUACGAAAGCAUGGGGAGCAAACAGGAUUAGAUACCCCCGUAGUCCCUGUCUCUUAUAC
rnacentral:rRNA from 1 species